CACCAGGGAGUUUGUGCUAAGCUGGGUUUUCCUUGUUGCUAUAUUAAAAUGUGUCCAGUGUGAGGAUCAGCUGGUGGAGUCUGGGGGAGGCUUGGUACAGCCUGGGGGGUCCCUGCGACCCUCCUGUGCAGCCUCUGGAUUCGCCUUCAGUAGCUAUGCUCUGCACUGGGUUCGCCGGGCUCCAGGGAAGGGUCUGGAGUGGGUAUCAGCUAUUGGUACUGGUGGUGAUACAUACUAUGCAGACUCCGUGAUGGGCCGAUUCACCAUCUCCAGAGACAACGCCAAGAAGUCCUUGUAUCUUCAUAUGAACAGCCUGAUAGCUGAGGACAUGGCUGUGUAUUAUUGUGCAAGAGA